rnacentral:rRNA from 1 species
UAUCUCUGUAGAGUCUGCAUAUCAAUAAGCGGAGGAAAAGAAACUAACAAGGAUUCCCUUAGUAACGGCGAGUGAAGCGGGAAGAGCUCAAAUUUGAAAUCUUCAAGGUUCUACCUUGACGAAUUGUAGUUUAAAGAAGUGUUUUCUGUUAGAUGAGUAGCAAAAGUUCCUUGGAAUGGGACAUCAUAGAGGGUGAGAAUCCCGUAUUUGGUUAUUCAUUCUAGCUUUGUGAUACACUUUCAAAGAGUCGGAUUGUUUGGGAAUGCAGUCCAAAAUGGGUGGUAAAUUUCAUCUAAAGCUAAAUAUUGGCGAGAGACCGAUAGCGAACAAGUACCGUGAGGGAAAGAUGAAAAGAACUUUGAAAAGAGAGUUAAACAGUACGUGAAAUUGUCAAAAGGGAAGCGUUUGACACCAGUGUUGUUUUUCCGAAAAUCAAUUACGAAUGGCUUGAUUUUGUGUUGUAUUGACCUUAUCAGCUUUCUUCGCUUUUUUCGAGUCUUUCUUAAUGCACUUUUCGGUUAACAAGUCAACAUCAAUUUCUUUUGUUGUAAAAGAGUAUUCGGAAGGUGGCUUUCUUUUCGGAGAAAGUGUUUAUAGCCCUAUACUUCUACAAUCGGAGAGAUUGAGGUCUGCAGCGUAGAUCCUUCGGGGUUAGAUACAUUUGUGCUAAGUUGUAGCUUUUCAUAGACAACUUGUUGACUAUGUUUAGUCAUGCGGCUUACUCGCUUAUGCUAUUUUACCUACGCUUAGGAUGUUGACUGAUAUGUAGUCGUA